CGCAUACGCCUAGGAUCAUGAAACUUCAUAGGUAGAUUGAUCAUGACUCGCAGAUGACCCCUAUUGAUUUUGAGGUCACUAGGUCAAAGGUCAAGGUCACGGUGACCCGAAAUAGUAAAAUGGUUUCCGGAUGAUAACUCAAGAAUGCAUACACCUAGGAUCAUGAAACUUCAUGGGUAGAUUGAUCAAGACUCGCAGAUGACCCCUAUUGAUUUUGAGGUCACUAGGUCAAAGGUCAAGGUCACCGUGACCCGAAAUAGUAAAAUGGUUUUCGGAUGAUAACUCAAGAACGCAUAUGCCUAGGAUCAUGAAACUUCAUAGGUAGAUUGAUCAUGACUCGCAGAUGACCCCUAUUGAUUUUGAGGUCACAAGGUCAAAGGUCAAGGUCACGGUGACCCGAAAUAGUAAAAUGAUUUUUGGAUGAUAACUCAAGAACGCUUUUGCCUAGGAUCAUGAAACUUCAUAGGUACAUUGAUCGUGACUCGCAGAUGACCCCUAUUGAUUUUCAGGUCACUAGUUUAUUCUGUUUUCACACUGUCCAGUAAAGAGACUUACAAAUUGAGUUUUUGACACAUGUUAAUUCAUAAUGAUGUAUAAGCCUUUGUUUCUGUGCCAGUAAAUACUAUGUUUAUGGAAAUGACGUGAGAAUUCAACAUUUAAAAAACCAAUGUAAUAUGAUAUUUAAUAUUAUAUGGCAACAGGACAGUUGUGAUUUGCUGGGUCAAUUCUAUUUAGCUUGACCAUCCAAGCGGUUGAUAGCUUUGACAAACUGGUGGUCUGAAACAUUGAGAAAAUGUCACGAUUCACUGACAAUAAAUCAAACAUGUAAUUCUUGCUACGCAACUUGCAUUUAAUUUUGUCAAUUCAAAUUAUACAUAAAACUAUAAAAUUAAUUUUUAAUCUGCUUGUUAAUUGAAAAACAGCAACACAGUUUGUAUGUAUAAAACAAUGUUAAUACAUAAAUAGGAUCAAGCAUAUUAAAAUAUCAACUUAGAUUUAGUUUCCUUUACUGUACAGGAUUUGUAAAGUUAGGUUAAUAUUUGUGUAUUGAACAAAAAUAACAACAGUGUAAAGAAAAGUUAAUUUGGGGAUGUUCUAUCCAAACCCUGAGAGUUCAGAUUUCCUCAAAUGCCAAGUAAAGAUUGUAAAUUUCAACCCACUCGUCUGGUUAGUUUUCAGAGGCACAUAUAAUUAACUUUUAGGCUUAGUGUCUCAUUUGUACAUGCAUUACUGUAUUAACUCCAAAUCAACUAGUACAAGUGGUAGGCCAGUAUUACAUGGACUGGUGUUCACUGUUUACACAGUUUCACAACCCCAUCUGAUACU